AUUCCCAGGCCCCUAAAAUCUUUUGUCUUUAAAACAAUGUCAAUUUCUUGGACAUUGUUUUAAGGACAAAAGAUUUUAGGUGCCUGGGAAU